rnacentral:rRNA from 1 species
UACGUAGGGGGCAAGCGUUGUCCGGAUUUAUUGGGCGUAAAGAGCGUGUAGGCGGCCAUUCAGGUCAGCUGUGAAAACUCGAGGCUCAACCCUCGAGACGUCGGUUGAAACCGUUUUGGCUAGAGUCCGGAAGAGGAGAGUGGAAUUCCCGGUGUAGCGGUGAAAAUGCGCAGAUAUCGGGAAGAACACCCGUGGCGAAGGCGGCUCUCUGGGACGGUACUGACGCUGAGACGCGAAAAGCGUGGGGGAGCGAACAGG